AUAUGAUUGGUGACUGAUAAUAACUUUACGGAUCACAAUUAAUGUGACAGAUCAUUCAAGUUUCUGACCUAUCAGCUUUACACGGUAGGGUAUUGGCCUACCGUGGCAAUGACGUGUAACGGGGAAUUAGGGUUCGAUUCCGGAGAGGGAGCCUGAGAAACGGCUACCACAUCUAAGGAAGGCAGCAGGCGCGCAAAUUACCCAAUCCUAAUACAGGGAGGUAGUGACAAGAAAUAACAAUACAGGACUUUUUGGUUUUGUAAUUGGAAUGAGUUAAGUAUAAACCCCUUUACAAGUGUCAAUUGGAGGGCAAGUCUGGUGCCAGCAGCCGCGGUAAUUCCAGCUCCAAUAGCGUAUAUUAAAGUUGUUGCAGUUAAAAAGCUCGUAGUUGGAUUUCUGUUAAUAAUUUAUAUAAAAUAUUUUGAUGAAUAUUUAUAUAAUAUUAACAUAAUUCAUAUUACUAUUUUUUUUUUUAGUAUAUGAAAUUUUACUUUGAGAAAAUUAGAGUGCUUAAAGCAGGCAUAUGCCUUGAAUACUCCAGCAUGGAAUAAUAUUAAAGAUUUUUAUCUUUUUUAUUGGUUCUAAGAUAAGAAUAAUGAUUAAUACGGACAGUUGGGGGCAUUUGUAUUUAACAGUCAGAGGUGAAAUUCUUAGAUUUGUUAAAGACAAAGUAAUGCGAAAGCAUUUGCCAAGGAUGUUUUCAUUAAUCAAGAACGAAAGUUAGGGGAUCGAAGACGAUCAGAUACCGUCGUAGUCUUAACCAUAAACUAUGCCAACUAG
rnacentral:rRNA from 1 species